rnacentral:rRNA from 1 species
UACAGAGGUCUCAAGCGUUGUUUCGGAUUCAUUGGGCGUAAAGGGUGCGUAGGCGGCGCGGUAAGUCGGGUGUGAAAUCUUGGAGCUUAACUCCGAAACUGCAUUCGAUACUGCCGUGCUUGAGGACUGGAGAGGAGACUGGAAUUUACGGUGUAGCGGUGAAAAUGCGUAGAUAUCGUAAGGAAGACCAGUGGCGAAGGCGGGUCUCUGGAUAGUUCCUGACGUGAGGCACGAAGGCCAGGGGGAGCAAAACGGGG